GACGAACCGUGCGAACGUUGUUCGGAUUCACUGGGCUUAAAGGGCGCGUAGGCGGCGCGACAAGUCGGGGGUGAAAUCUUCCGGCCCAACCGGAAAAGGGCCCCCGAUACUGGCGCGCUGGAGGGAGGUAGGGGCAUGUGGAACUCCAGGUGGAGCGGUGAAAUGCGUAGAUAUCAGGAGGAACACCGGUGGCGAAGGCGGGUCUCUGGGCCGAUACUGACGCUGAGGAGCGAAAGCGUGGGGAGCGAACAGG
rnacentral:rRNA from 1 species